GCUGGAGUCCAUCUUCUGAGCCUGGGAUAGGUUAUUGGCAGGUUUCCUACAAAAAUAUUGAAAAUUAUCACGAUGUUAGAAGAUGGAAGGAGUACUCAGAGCACAUGCCCCAUGAAGAGAGCCUGAGGUGGCAUUGCCAGUUUAGAUGGGCAAUGAGAAGUUUAAGGAGCAAUCUAAUUGCAACCUACAGCUUUCUGAAGUUACUAAAGUGGAAGACCAAACUCUCCUCAACUAUGGGAGGUAGCGUAACAAAAGGCAAUAACCAAGAAUUAUGGAUUGAAAGAUUCAGACAUCGGGAGAAACUUCAUCAGAUGAAUGGUGUUGCACUGGAACAGGUUAUACAUGGGUACUAUAGACACACUUAGAAGUAUUCAAGACCUGGAUAAGAAAAACCAUGGCUGACAUAGCUGGGUGAUGAGACAGUCAUACUUGGAGGGGGAGCACUAGACAAUGUGAUCCCUUGAUGUUCCUUCCAAACAGCAAAUCUAUGACUGUGAAGAACUGCAACAACAGAGAGGCUGAGGAUUCCCAGCUAGGGGUAGCUCAGCGCUAAUAGGCCCUCUCUGAGCCCAUGCUGCUGGGAAGCAGAAUGUGUUUGCUGUCCUAUGUGUUUCACAAAGGAGUACCACCUGGACCACCUGUCCACUACUUCAUCUGAAUGCCCCAAUGCUUAGUGUCGACUGGCCAAUCUACAAAAUCCAGCUCUGGUGGCUGAUGAAAUUCAGUAUUUUGGGAGAGAGCUGUGAGGAAGUCUGUAGCAGAGCCAUAAAGGAAAAAGCAGAAGGGUUAUAAAAUCCCAAAGAGAAAGACAAGGAGAAGAAGGACAGCACCCAGAGACUGAUGAAGACUUUGUCCAGCAGGUCUCUUUUGAUCCUUCAGUGAUCCAAGUCAACUGAAAUCUGAGACCUAGCAACUAACCACUGAAGAUGUGUGCUGUUCUCCACUCCACUAUAUAAUGUGUCCUGAGGAGAGCAAGGAAGCUGCUGGAAGGCACGUCCUGUGAAGAGAGGCUGAGAACACUCGACUUGCCCAAUCUGGAGAAGUGGAGGCCGAGAGGUGACCUUAUUGCUCCCAGUAGCUCCCAGAGGAGGUAGUGAGCUCUGCUUUUGAGAACUAAUGGUGGGAUAGGAAUAGCACCAGGAUAUAUCAGUGGAGGGUCAGACUGGGCAUUAGAAAGCAUUUAUUUAUCAUAAGGAUGGUCAAACAGUGGAACAGGCUUCUUAAGUGAAGUGGUUGAGGCCCUGCUCUCAUCAGUGCUCAAGAAAUGCAUGGACAAUAUCCCCAACAAUAUCUUUUAACUUGUGGUUAGCCCUGCAGUGGUCAGGCAGUUGGACUGGAUUAUAUUUGUAGCUCCAUUCCAACUGAACUAUUCUAUUCCACUCUAUUCAACUCUGCCAAAAUAAAAAGGGAAACUUUUUUUGAAGUUUUUCUGAAGUUUUGAUGACUAUUGAAAUUCUAAUUCCCCCUCAAAUGUCCAGAACUCAGUUGUAUGGCUGUUUGCUCAGAUGAAGUGGGGAUUUUUACCUCUGUUUUGAACAAAUAGGUGGACUUAUCAGGAAGAUGGCCUCAGAUAAAAAAAAAAACUUUCUUCCAGAUCUAUCAAAAAAUGAAAUAAAUUUAUUAAAAAAGAGUAUGCCCUCUCGAGGGCAAAGAAGAUAUUCUAAAUAGCUGACAAAAAGAAUAUCAGCAACAUAUGAUGGAUUAACUAUAGUAAUGAAUUAUUGCUGACCAUGCACAUUAUCUUGUCACACUGAAUUGCAUAAUAAUAUUAGUGGAUUUAACUGCAAAGAUAUUUUUGGAACUCACUGAACUGAAAGAAACCUGAAGAAAUAAACUGACUGAUAGAGAUGUUUGACUGUUUAAAACAAUGAAGCCUAUUUAUGAAAUCAUGCCCUUCAUCUUAGCUCAAAACUACAGAACUAAUGUCUUGUAGGAGUCACUUGAGCAUUUACCACAUUCUACCUAAAAGGGAGCAAGCACUGUGAUAGAUCCAGAUGGACAGAUGGGAGCCAUCUGUCACAAGGAGCUUGUGUCCCAAUAAAAAAGCAACUUGUUAGUUUGGGAACUUGUUCUUCAUUGCUAUUUUGUGAGACUUGACUUUAGGUUCCAUCACUUGCAUUCCUGGUAAUCCUUAGGGAGCUAAUCUCUCUUCACAGAAUAUUUGUGAAAUGUGAAAAUGUUAUGAGGAGUCAGAAGACUAGAUACUGACAGAUGCCUUUCUCUUAUCGAAAUCAACAGGAUGCAUCAGUAAGGAUCUUUAAGAUUCAGAGUUCAAAUCACUGCCCACUAUUUCAUAGGAAAUCCAGUGUGAGAUGAACUUAUGUGCACUCCACAGUUCCUGCUCUCUUACAGACUAAACCUUUCCUGAACUCAUGGUGCUAUUUCUAAAAUGUUGAAACAACAUUCAAUUCCCACAUGAGGAACCCGGCUCUUUGUUAAGCCAUGGACACACAGCACAAGAGCUGAAAUGCUGUAUAUAUUUGUAUCUUCUGGCCAAGAACAGCAGGGAAUGAGACAGCAGCAGCACAGGUAUGCUGUCUUAGUAAAAAUGCUUCAAUAUUAUUCACCAAACCCAGCUUGUUGUUAUAGUGGAUGUUUGCAUGAAGAAGAAUUGUUGCAUGAAGAAGUAUUCUCAACAAUUGAUCUCAGAAACAAAUUUGAUUCUCCACAUCUGCAGUAUGACCUGAUCAACAGCCAGAGCAAUGUGCUGGAAAGAGACAGUAACCUACACAGGCAGUGGUGAUGGUGAAGGAAACUGCAAGGGGCUCGGUUGAACAGAUCAGUUUGAUGUCUGCUCUCAGAAAUUCAUGUGUCUCCUGGGCAAAUUUCAGUUUUGAGAAGUGGUCCUUUUUAUAAGGCAUAAGCAUUAGAUAUGCUCAUAUCUCAGUCAAAGGCUUUCCUACUCAGUGCCAACUGUUAUUCAGCAGAGCUCAUUAUGCAGGUGAGAUGUAUCGCAGUGCUGCUACUCUGCAACACUCUGCAGAUCUCUAUGCGCCAUGUGCACAAUGUCUGAAAUAUAAGCAAAUUUAUGCUGCACUCAUCCUUUCUGUGGUUAUUAGUGUCAUUUAGUAUCAUCUUCCUCCACAAACUGACUCACCAAGCAAAAUGCACAAGUGCACUUUAGAGUAGAUCAUAUUAUCAUGCCUACUUCUGAAGAGUCAAGUGCCAUUGCUACUUUUCACAAGGAAUAACUGCCUAAACUAUUUCACAUUCUGCAGUGCAUCAACAAUAUACUUCCUCCAGUGAGUUAGCAAUUCAGAAGAGCAAUUGAACAGUAAUGCACAACUAUCAUACUGUUCUACAAUGGAGAGAUAAAGUCUAAUGCAUUGCUUUAUGCCUCUUAUAUGUUAGUACGUUCUUUUCUGGAGCCUUUUCAUCUAGAUAUGCAGUUGUAUCACUCCUAAGGUUCUGACUGUACCAAGAAAGCAUUACAUUGAAGAUAAUGCAUAAAAUAUAUUAGGAGUUUCUCUCUCAAUAUUAUUGUUGAGAUGAUAUGUAUUCCUAACUGCAGUUGAUUUCAGUCAGUUGUAGACCGAAAGCAACAAUGGUGGCCAAGUGCUGAGGGGAUUUUAUUUCAGAAAUAUUUUCACGUUACUCACUGGCAUUCUUUCUUCCUGCUUUAUUUUUUAGAGGGAGAAUAGAGCAUCAAAGAAAUACAGCAAAGAUGAAGACUUUUGAAAGGUUAAGAUUAUCGCAUUAAAAAUAAUAAUAAUAAUAAUUUGGAUAGUAGUUAUAGUCAGGAAAGGGGCUAAGAGUCUGAAGCGAGAGCAACCAAUAACCUAACAAGCUGAAAAACAAAGCCCAAGCCCAGUGUUCAUAUAGUAUAUUUAGAGCUAAAAGGCAGCGAGUACUUGAGUAAGACAAGCUGCAAAUACUCAAGAUCCUAAGCUAAAGGUUAAAUAAAUUGGAAUGAAAUGAAAGAACGGUGUUUUAGCCAGGGAUCAUAUUUUGCAAUGACACCUUGGGAUAGCAUCUUCUGUUUGAUUGCUGUGGCUGUCUCUACCCAGAACCACAUCAGUCCCCUGGGAGACUGACCGUGGUGGCUCAGUAGCUCCUUGCUCUUUGAUUGUUCGGGAGUGCUUGUCAAGAGGCUGUCAGGAGAAUCACCGAAGUACAGCUUGAGCUCUGUUCUCAGUGAAUUUCAGCAAGAUUGGCCUUUGUGCCUCUGAAAAUCUACCCCUUGUUCCCUACAAAGUGGUGACUUCCCAUGUGGUCUAUUAUUACAAUUACAUGUGUUUGGUGCUUUGUAUGGGCUCAUCUCACUCAUUACCACUGCACUUAACAUCAUGGCAAAAAAAGGGUAAGGAUUCCUUCCUGCAUUUGUAACUAAAGUGCUACCAUAGCAGAGGGUUUGUCUUGUCCAAGGUCUUUGUUAUGCAACUGCAUGCAGAUGUGAAUAGCAUCGUUUGCCUGGUUCAAUGACUCAGCACCUAGGUCGCCAGGUGUUUUUCAGCUAACGUUGAGACCAUAAGUCUAAUAAAUGUGCUUGGUAAUCACAUAAAGCAUAUUGCCGUAUUGCAGAUGUUAUUCUUUCAAAAGUAUUGGCAAACACAACUAAAACUCAGCCCAUGUGCAUGCUUUGACCUUUCUUAAGAAUGCACCAUCAAGAACCUCUGGCAGGUGAGACUGUUUAACCAGAGAAGACAUGGCAACAGCUGGAAAAUCAGUACAGCUAACAGCACCAUUGAAGUUUGCUUAGACUUAGUGUAUAAGUGGUGAAAUCAGAAUGGAAUCAGUGAAGGACAAGUUUUUGUCAGAGAAUAGAUUUUGAAAAGGAACAUAUCUACUAGUACUGCCAACAUAAGUAGAAGUCAAUUUCAUUUUACAGCAACCUAGGCAAGCUGUCAUGAAUGUUCUAGAUUAUUUUGGUAGAUGUUAUGUAGCAGCCUAUUCUUGCUGAUCCAGUGGCCUCUUGUUAUCUGCCAGAAAAUGCAUUAACCACCAAAUGCAUCAUGUCAUUGUGAGCUUUGCCAUUGCAUGCUUGUGAUUUCCAUAAGAUUUAUUGGAUGCUGCAAUCACUGUACUCUUUGAAAACAUAUACAUCAUCUCCUAGACUGGGUCAAUAGUUUGCUAGUGUUAAGACCUCAGAAAGCAGUGAUGUACUGCCCAGAACUUGUUGCAGCUCCACUGUCUUGAAAUUUAUCAUGUAUAUUUGGUACCAGGCAUGAACAAGCCCACAACAGCUUGACUACUAAAUAUGCUCCUGACAAUAGGGGAGGAAAGGAAAUUUAAAGCACAAAAUUUAUUGAAUUUUUCCUUCAUUUAUACCCAUUAAAAAUAGAAAUAAAGGUCAGUAGUUCAACAUUACUGCAAAAUUCACUUAAGAUCAUUCUGUGGACAGGAAAUGCCAACAUGUAGAGGUAGCUGCUUAGUAAGGGGCUGAAAUAACAUUGUGGCAACAGAUAACAAAGCUGUUAUGUUUCCUCAAAUGGCAUAUUCAGUACUGUUAUGAAAUCAGUUUCUAAAAAACAGAAAAACUUUACCCUUCAUUAAUAGAGCUAUUUCAUCAAGACAGGCAGAGUGUGUCCAAUUCACUGUGUCAGCAGCAUUUGACCCUCAGUUCAGUUUACCAAUAAGUAAACUAUUCUAGGCCUGUAUUAUAACCUUUUAAAGAUGAUAUCCGACAAGAUGAUUUUUGAUAAAUAACACAAUCUUUUACUACAAACCUGUUCCUUGGCUUAUCAAGGAGACCAGUUUCUGGGAUGCAACCCAACAUUUUGUAAGCAGUGGCUGUUCAGAUACUCGUUUUAUCAUCAUUUCCUGCUCCAAGCCAUACAACAGUCUUCCCUCAGUCAAAAUACGUAGGUUUAACACUCUUUCGUGUCCUAUAACAUUAUAACAGCAAAAUGCUUAGACUACAGCAAAAUGCUUCCAGCUGGUUUCUGAAGGUGACCUUGAGGAUGUCUGGCACACACCAGAGACAGUGGAAGACAGGUGAACACUCUGUUCCCUUACUACUUGAAUCUGCCAUUACAAAUAACAUCCAGGAGCUAAAAAACUAUGGAGCUUUGUGUGCAAACAUGCAUUAGGAAUUGAAGUUUUAUAUGCAUGCAGAGAAAAUCAAGAAACCAAAGACAGAUCAGCAACUUUCCUCCUCCAAAACCAUUUAUUCCUUUUACUUUGAAGCUUAUAUUUAAGUCUUCUGUUUUUGUAACUCUUCAGGGUGGGAAGCAUGAAUUAAAAAUCAGUCCGUGACCCAUUAUUAUUUUAUAAUCCUCUCUUUGGCAAGUUGAAAGCAAUAGCUUGCCAGACUUGUAUUAAAUUUUCAUGGAAUGAUGUGAGGGAGUGAAAUACA